AAGCAGCUGCUCUCCAUUUGUCCUGAUUAUUCUGGAAAGCAGAACAGAACACACCGUGUAAUAGAACAGCACAGAGUGCACUUCACGCACUGCAUGCUGCGUACUGUAGCUGUGCAUGGCGAGCCAGUCGCAGCAGGCCCGCAUUCCUUUAGCUGUUAGCUGUCAGCCGGCUCUGCGCCGCGCUACAGUUUGGAGAAUCGCUUUACCUGCGGAGCUUCCAUCCUCUGAUGUAAAGAGCUGCGGUAGCGGCCCGUAAAACCAGAAUUUGUUUAUUCUAGUCGGUGGUGACAUCACUCAGGAUCUGCAACACCUCAAACAGCCGGUGUCCUGGGUGUGUGCGGUCCCUCAGAGUGCUGCGGGCCGUCUUGUCACGGCAGGUUCUCAAGAGGUCCUUCUGGUCCUUCCUCGUUGCAACGCGGCUCAAGCCCCAUCAGAUUUGGGGAAGAGCAUCAAUCUGAUAUUAAUUUUCAAUUCUUACUUGUAGAGAAGACGAUGUAUCGACAGGAUUUAAUUCAAAUUCAAAGAGUGCUAGGCCUCACUUUUUGUAAUGUUAUUUAAAAAAUAAAUAAAUAAUGGAAAUCUAUGUACCAUUAAGUCUUACACUACAACAUUAUGCAUUGUUUUGUCUUGGUUUAUCACAUGAGAUGCCCCUCCCC